AGCCACCUUCGGGUGGUGGACAGUGGCAGACGGGUGAGUAACGCGUGGGAACGUGCCUUUCGGUUCGGAAUAACCCAGGGAAACUUGGGCUAAUACCGGAUACGCCCUUCGGGGGAAAGAUUCAUUGCCGAAAGAUCGGCCCGCGUCGGAUUAGCUAGUUGGUGGGGUAAUGGCUCACCAAGGCGACGAUCCGUAGCUGGUCUGAGAGGAUGACCAGCCACACUGGGACUGAGACACGGCCCAGACUCCUACGGGAGGCAGCAGUGGGGAAUAUUGGACAAUGGGCGCAAGCCUGAUCCAGCCAUGCCGCGUGGGUGAAGAAGGCCUUAGGG
rnacentral:rRNA from 1 species